GGGGCGCCGCGGGCCCGGUGCGCAGGCGCGGCAGCCUUCGCGCGUUUGGCGCGGGGUCCUGUUCCACGCCCGGCAGGGCUUAGGUCUGGCCGGAAGUGAUCUCGGCGCGUCUGGACUCCGGUGUGCCCGGGCGGCCCUCGCCGGCCAGAGUCAGACCCCGGCCCGGCGUAGGGGUCUUCCUCGUCGGGCCUGGCCCCGGGACUCAGCGCGCAGCCUCACAGUCUGGGCCUCGACCGGCCUGCGGAAUGGCCGACUUUUCCUUGGGUGCCUCCACAUCCAAAGUUCCUUUUUUUAAAGGUGAUACAUGAUAGAAAGCGCAACCACAACAGAAUAGGCAUGCGGUCAAAUCUCUCCUAUUCUUGACCCACAUUUAAAAAAUCUCCUCCUGGAAGCCGCCAAGGUUGCCGUCUCCUGACUUGGGUCAGUCGUCCGUGCAGGCCCCCGCUUCCUUAGGGGUCGUGGUGGCAGGGGCUGCGCGCAUGUCGCUCAAGCAGCCAGAGCCGGAGCCCCCGCCCCGCUCCCCUUGCUGUGGGGCUGCCGGCCGCCGAGGCGGGCGCGCCCCUUCCAGGCUCGGAACUGCCCCUCCCGCGGGAGGCCCCGGAGCUGUUCAGAGGUCCCCGCAUCGCACAGUGGUCUUCCAAGAUCUCUUUUGGCUUCCUGAUGGAUGGUCAGCAGAGGCCACCUGCACCAUAGUGUCAAUCGAGUUGUGGUUAAAGAUGCUUUCAUGGAUUCCAGUUUAGAGGAUCCUGCUGGUCACAGUCCAGAGCUUGGUAACUGGGUAUUAUAGAAGGAACAUCAGAAGAAGACAGCCCUUGAGCCCCAUUGGAAAGGACCUUACCUAGUAUUUGUAACUACUGACACUGCUGCAGAACUAGAAGGCAGUUAAUGUUGGAGCUACAUCUCAUAGCUUAAGAAGUCUCCACCUGACAUCUGGUCUCGUACAAAUGCUGGAGACCUCCAAGUCAAACUUACUGGGAAGAGAAGCCGCUAACAUCUGAGGCAGACAGUUCCUCCCAAGACUCAGGACCACGCCUGUAUUCUCACUUUUCCUUCAUUAUGUUAUGCUUGGUACUUUGGACAAUAUUGGACUCACUCGUCUAUCCCCUCUCCUCCUCUAUCACAUCCUAAUGAAAUAUCAUGGUUGCCUACCCAUCUAACUAAUAUAGCCCCAAACACACCGUAGAUUUAUAUUAUGAUGAUGACUUAGACACAGUGUUUAUGACUCCUUGAACAUAGCCUAAUAUUCCCUUGGCUUUUUGGAUUUAUUUUCUGGGAUAUGUAUAUUGCAAGGAGCCAUGAUGAGGGAAAUUUUGUUGGGAAGGUUUACAAAAUACCUCCAUCAUACUUUCUGACUUGUAAUCAAAGUACUUUUUAUCAUAAAUUUACUGCUAUAUGGUGUAAUACUGGUUUUGGUAGUCAAAUAGAACUGCCUAAAUAUAAUAAUAC
rnacentral:lncRNA from 1 species